UGUUAUAGACUUAAUAUAGAAGUUGUUAGCUGUUUAUCUGCUGUCUAGAAAAGUGUUAAAAAUAUCAAACCUUAUUUUUUGAACAAGGCAAGAUUAUCAAAUGUCACCUUUGUAAUUUUUCAAAGAAGUGGACAAAGAAGUGUAAACAGCCACCAGAGCCGACAAGGUCACACUAAGACCAUCAGUGGAGGAAACCCUUCACUUUAGCAUAUGGUAAUGCAUUGGUAAUUAGAAACAUGCAAUGAAAAUGUAUUCAAGGUGAACAUUCAUUAUUUUGGAAACAAGACAUUUCUUGUGAGCUGCCGAUCAAACUGCACUUAUGGAAUUAAUGUGACAGAAAGAAUAAGAGCCGACCCUACAGACCCAGCGAAGCUUCAGAUUAUCAAUGUGCAGCUGUCCGAUGAGGGGGGCUAUGCUUGUGAAGUAACAUCAUCUCAGGGCAGCUUCAAAGCAACAUGGCAUCUUGUUGUAAAAGAAAACAAUGACCUGGCAAAUAACAGUGCAAAUCAAAAGUAUAUUGUUUUGUAUACACCCCUGGCUGCAAUAGCAAUUUUUUCUGUAUUUUUGGUCAUCUGUGCAAGAAAAGUUUUAAAAGUAUCACAAACAAGUCACAAAAAUAAGGAGAAUGACUGCAGCAGCAACACAAGACAAGAGAACAGCAGUUUUAUUGAAAGAACCAACUCUUUAUAUGAAGGAAUAAUAACAGCUAAAGAAUGUCACAACUCAGGUGCUUCAAAUGCAUGAAGUGAAGAACAUUUAUUGGGAAAACUCUCUUGUUUCUGAUUUAGUAAGCUGCAUGCUCAUUUUAUCUGACCUUCAGCAUGAUAAUUAUCACACAGUAAGAAAUGAUUCAUAGAAAAAAAAUACCUUGCAGUUAUAAAUAUUUUUUAUAAUUAGCUUUGACAAUGCUAGGGCCCAGGCAGCUAAAAUCUUCAGCCUGGUGAGAAUGGGAUUUGAAACGUACAGCACUUGCAUGACUCACACAGCACUGUUUUUACUAAGUAACUGCAGACCCCAGAGUCAACUUCCUCAAGUCAAGUUUGUUUGUCUGU